rnacentral:rRNA from 1 species
UAGGGAAUCUUCCGCAAUGGGCGAAAGCCUGACGGAGCAACGCCGCGUGAGUGAUGAAGGUCUUCGGAUCGUAAAACUCUGUUAUUAGGGAAGAACAAAUGUGUAAGUAACUAUGCACGUCUUGACGGUACCUAAUCAGAAAGCCACGGCUAACUACGUGCCAGCAGCCGCGGUAAUACGUAGGUGGCAAGCGUUAUCCGGAAUUAUUGGGCGUAAAGCGCGCGUAGGCGGUUUUUUAAGUCUGAUGUGAAAGCCCACGGCUCAACCGUGGAGGGUCAUUGGAAGCUGGAAAACUUGAGUGCAGAAGAGUAAAGUGGAAUUCCAUGUGUAGCGGUGAAAUGCGCAGAGAUAUGGAGGAACACCAGUGGCGAAGGCGACUUUCUGGUCUGUAACUGACGCAGAUGUGCGAAAGCGGGGGGAUCAAACAGG